rnacentral:rRNA from 1 species
GAUGAACGCUGGCGGCGUGCCUAAUACAUGCAAGUCGAGCGCACAGACGAGGAGCUUGCUCCUCUGACGUUAGCGGCGGACGGGUGAGUAACACGUGGAUAACCUACCUAUAAGACUGGGAUAACUUCGGGAAACCGGAGCUAAUACCGGAUAAUAUAUUGAACCGCAUGGUUCAAUAGUGAAAGACGGUUUUGCUGUCACUUAUAGAUGGAUCCGCGCCGCAUUAGCUAGUUGGUAAGUUAACGGCUUACCAAGGCAACGAUGCGUAGCCGACCUGAGAGGGUGGGCAGCCGCACUGGAAGUGAGACACGGUACAGGCUGCUACGGGAGGCAGCAGUAGUGAAUCGGGCGCAAGGAGCGAAAGACUGACGGAGAAACGCCGCGCGAGGGAUGAAGAACUUCGUGUCGUAAAUCACGGUUAUUGGAGUAUAACAAAUGUGUAGGAAACAAGGCACGUCUGGAGGGUACCGAAGCAGAAAGCCACGGCAAACAACUG